rnacentral:lncRNA from 1 species
GUUGCUUUAGAAAGUGAUUGUUGGAAUGGAUGUGCUAACAUGCAUCUACAUUUGAAACCUCUCCUUAACACAUUUCGCAUAAUUUUAUUUCUCUUGUCUUCAGCCUACACAAAUAUCAAUUUAAAGACUUGAGAAAUGAAUGGAAAGUAUCACUUUUAGGUGGUGGAAAUUAUCCAUCUGGAUAUGACAUCUCUGUUAUGAACAAAACAGUUUAGAAUAGUGGUGAUUUUAGCUACCCUGAAAGUAUGUUCCCAUGUAUGCAUACAUGUGUAUGUGUUUGUAUGUAGGCAAGCUUUGCUAUAUAUUUAUCAACAGUGCUCAUAAAGAGAUCUUCUUGUUUAAGGGAUAAAAUAUUGAAGUCUGUGUGAGAGUAACCUUGAGAAUGUGUGUCUUACCUUUCUUAUGCAUGGGCCAAAUUAGCUCAUUAUUCCAGCUUAAGGGUCCACAAAUUUUCAUUUUACUUUAAUGCAUUUCUC